UCUGCUUUCCAAGUCUUUUCUGAUUUCAGAACUACUCAAGGAUUUAACCUUGUCCAACUCAACUGAGAUUUAAUUUAGAAGAAGCUGCUCAGUGUCUUGACGUGAAUCAUAUAAACAUGAUAGUGAGCUGCAGGAAAAUGUACACAUCGUCUGCACCAAGAUAUUUGGUCAUCCUACAGCUCAAAGUACUGAAGUACAGGGACUGAGUUAAAGUGAUGGAUGUACUUGGGAAUUUGGAAGUAUGCGAUCCUAUCCUUAUCUCUCUUGCUGUGAAUAGCCAUCAAAUUGCAGAUGCUACCAUGACACCAACCUGACUUCCCUGGGCAGACAACCUCACCAAUGUGUCCUCCCCAGAGCCCUGCCCAACUAAGGAAAAAUAGAAACAGUCUGGGAGUAUGGAUUGACCUGCCAACACCCAUGUCCAGUGGAGAAGCAAUUACAGAAGCCAGACCUUCCACCUUCUGCACCCCAUAAUGAUCCUGGGUCCAUACUCCCAGAGGGAUAAAAAAUAGGAAAGCUUCCAAUGGAGGGAAUGGGAUGCAAACUCUGGUGGUGGGAAUUAUACCUCUCUUAUCCUACAGCCCUGUCAAUCAUUAUUAAAUCAUCAUCAACAACAAAAAUAAUCAGGAAACCUGGAAUUGAAUUCAUGUAUCAUGUGAUUUUUCAGGAAGCCAUUUCAUGUACCAUAAUAAAGUAGAUGAAAAA